GCCAGACUCCUACGGGAGGCAGCAGUGGGGAAUAUUGCACAAUGGGCGCAAGCCUGAUGCAGCCAUGCCGCGUGUAUGAAGAAGGCCUUCGGGUUGUAAAGUACUUUCAGUCGGGAGGAAGGUGGUAAGGUUAAUAACCUUAUCAAUUGACGUUACCGACAGAAGAAGCACCGGCUAACUCCGUGCCAGCAGCCGCGGUAAUACGGAGGGUGCAAGCGUUAAUCGGAAUUACUGGGCGUAAAGCGCACGCAGGCGGUUGAUUGAGUCGGAUGUGAAAUCCCCGGGCUCAACCUGGGAACUGCAUUCGAAACUGGCAGGCUGGAGUCUUGUAGAGGGGGUAGAAUUCCAGGUGUAGCGGUGAAAUGCGUAGAGAUCUGGAGGAAUACCGGUGGCGAAGGCGGCCCCCUGGACAAAGACUGACGCUCAGGUGCGAAAGCGUGGGGAGCAAACAGGAUUAGAUACCCCAGUA
rnacentral:rRNA from 1 species